rnacentral:rRNA from 1 species
UACGUAGGGUGCGAGCGUUGUCCGGAAUUAUUGGGCGUAAAGAGCUCGUAGGCGGUUUGUCGCGUCGGCCGUGAAAACUUGGGGCUUAACCCCGAGCCUGCGUUCGAUACGGGCAGACUUGAGUUCGGCAGGGGAGACUGGAAUUCCUGGUGUAGCGGUGAAAUGCGCAGAUAUCAGGAGGAACACCGGUGGCGAAGGCGGGUCUCUGGGCCGAUACUGACGCUGAGGAGCGAAAGCGUGGGGAGCGAACAGG